GGUGAUUAGCCUAGUGGUAAGGCAAUGGCACGGUAAGCCUAAUACGUCGGGUUCGAUUCCCGACAUCACCA
rnacentral:tRNA from 1 species